AACAGGGAAGGAGUUCUGAUAAGAGGGGAAAGUGUAGCAUCUUGGCCUCCACCUCCAAGUCCACCCAGGUUAUUUAUAACCACGCUGAGCACAUGGCCACUUCCUUGUGUCUGCGUAUUCAACAUCGCCAGCCGUCAUUUCAGAGACAGCCCUCGGUGAUGGCCGACCAUAAGAGUGUAUGCUACAAAUCCUCUCUCCCCGAAGCUGCUUCUGGCUACAGCACCUUAGCCCAGGGAUAGACGUGAAACCAGGAUUCCCAGAGGAGGUGUCUGAGACCAGCAGGUGCUCACUGAACAAGUAUGUAAGCAGGGUCUCUCACUGAACCUGGAGCUCACUGAUUGAACAUCCAUCAAGCCUCGGAGUGCACCUCUCCCUGGGUCUGAGUUGGAUUAGACAUCCACCACUGCACCCCACAUUUACAGCAUCCCAUCUCCACAACAGCCAUCUUUUCUCUCAGACAAGGUCUUACUAUGUGGCCCAUGCUGCUUCUGCCUCCAAUCUCUCAGUGCAAUGGCAGAUGCUCACCACUGCACCUUCCUCCUGUUAGAGCUUCUCAUCAAGACACCAGACACCAAGCACCCGAGUCAGUAACCCGAAGCUGGCUGGCACCACAGCAUCUGGUCAGACGCCACACUGGGUGACCUGGUCUCUGGGCACUGAGGCUCUGCUCCGUGACUCACAAGCUCUCUUCCCCAGUCUUCGGGUAGAGGAAGAACACUACCUAACUCUCUAAAAAUGGCCUCCUCACCCCAUAGACAGAGACCCCUGAGGGGCCCCGGAUAUCCCAGUAAGCAUGAGCCACGAACCUGCCAUGUGCGUAGCCCUGUGUGAGAAGUGGAGGAAACACAACAAAACAAGUCUCAGCCAGCUUCAGAAAUGUAUUCAGUUCAGCUACUCACUCAGUACAGUGUGCACGUAGCGAGCACCUCUGUGCACUGAGCCCAGUUCAUUCACUGUAAACAAACCAACAAGACCUCUAUUCUCAAAAGAAAAAAAAAAAAAAAACCCUCACUUUGUCAUUGGCUCACUAUUAACAAGCACAUACUGUGUGCAGGAGCUUGUACUAAAAAACAGAGGAAAUGAACAAGGGAUCCUGAUCACUCGUCAGUCGUUCAUUUUCUCAUUCAGGUCUAUAAGCAGUUAUUGAGCACUUUCUGUAUACCCAGCACUUCGCCAAGCACGGUGAACAGAGUCAUGGUGCAGCCGGUACUUGAACAUUCACCCUGAGUCACGGGCGGGCUCCUGGAUGCCCACUGUGUGAUGACACAGGUCUGGGGUACAGUCACCACCUCAGCUGCAUCCUUCCAUGCACCAACCGCAACCAGCCUACUAUGUGCAUAGGAGAGAAGGCCCGUUGUGACCUUCCUUCCCCUCUGAUAGGUUCACUCCACCAAAGCAUCUACUAUGCGCCAGGCCCUGAGAAGCUAGUGAAUGAAGUUCAUAUCCAUGGGGCCGGAUGACAUAGGAUGCGUGCUCACUUCACCAGUCAGGCCUGAGUGCUCUGUCAGGACAGCAAGAACCUCUCAGUUAUUCAAAAGCUCCGUGAGAUUUGGGUGACUGUGAAGCAGGUCACACGCACCCUGAUCUGGCAGGGGACACAGGGACCAUGAAGGGAUCUCUUGGUACCCAUGAUCAUAUCUUAAGAGAUCAAGAUGAGAGAAUCCACCAGAACUCAGGGACAGCCAAGCUUGGGGAAAGAUGUUUCCAAUAGUGUGGAGGCACAGGGAAGCAGACAGCAGGCAGGCAGGUCCUUCAGCACCCACACCGUCCCAGGCUGAGUACAGGGCAGGGGAAUAGCAGGCUUCAUACCCACCGCCCAGAUGGCUGAGGAAGUAGGUCUGUGGCUACCAGAAUCCACAGAGAGCAGAAGGGAUGCCAGGAGCCAUCUGUGGCUGCCUCCACAAUGUGGUCCUCGUACCGGCUCUCUCACCCCCGGCCCUACAUGCACAGUGACAACGUUUCUACAGGACUUAGUUCUGAGUCCCUGGGGAACCCAGCUCACCCAUCCCUAGUCAGGGACAACUGUGUCCUGCCCCAAGAACUCACGAGUGUGGCAACAGAUAGUUACAGGGCUGCAUCUUUCGAGUGGCUUGUCAGGACAAGCUAGCAGGCACAUACACGUGCCUGUGUUCUGCGGAGGAUCCAGGAAAUCGGAAGACAGAAGGCCAAGCUCCCACGCUGUGCACCCGGGAACCCGGCAGCAUCUGCCUUCCCGACCUCUUCAGAGGCCCUGACCCCUGAGCCUGCCCAGUCGGCUGUGUGGGUCACAGGAUGACCGUGGCUUCACAUGGCAUGCCACCUGCUAUGCUCUACAAGUCUCAGGUCACCUGUCCCAGAGGACAAAGGCCGCUUUCACUGGGCCCCGGCUGCUCACGCAAGCCUGGGCAGGCGUCA